rnacentral:rRNA from 1 species
AUUGAACGCUGGCGGCAGGCCUAACACAUGCAAGUCGAACGGUAACAGGAAGCAGCUUGCUGCUUUGCUGACGAGUGGCGGACGGGUGAGUAAUGUCUGGGAAACUGCCUGAUGGAGGGGGAUAACUACUGGAAACGGUAGCUAAUACCGCAUAACGUCGCAAGACCAAAGAGGGGGACCUUCGGGCCUCUUGCCAUCGGAUGUGCCCAGAUGGGAUUAGCUAGUAGGUGGGGUAACGGCUCACCUAGGCGACGAUCCCUAGCUGGUCUGAGAGGAUGACCAGCCACACUGGAACUGAGACACGGUCCAGACUCCUACGGGAGGCAGCAGUGGCGAAUAUUGCACAAUGGGCGCAAGCCUGAUGCAGCCAUGCCGCGUGUAUGAAGAAGGCCUUCGGGUUGUAAAGUACUUUCAGCGGGGAGGAAGGGAGUAAAGUUAAUACCUUUGCUCAUUGACGUUACCCGCAGAAGAAGCACCGGCUAGCUCCGUG